rnacentral:lncRNA from 10 species
CUUCAUAGCUUUUGUCCAUUUUCUACUGGCUUGUCUUUUUCAAUGUUUUUAUAGGCAUUUUUUAAAAAACACAGUGUGGAUGUCAUUUGGGAUAGCAGUACUAAUAGUAGCUAAAACUUACUGAAAGCUACUGUGUGCCAGGCAGUCUGCUGAGCACUUUACAUGCUGCCUUUCAUUUUUACACUCAUUUAGGAAACUGAGUCACAGAGAGGCGAGAUAACUUGCCAGAGAUUCAAGCACACUCCAGACACAUCCCUACACCAAUCAGACCUCCUAGCCACCCAGAAACUCUCCUCUGCUCGGAGGCUUCUCUGCUUCCUCCACCUGCCCCUUCGCCUCACUGCCUCCUUUCAAAAUCUGCGGCAUGUAUUUUAGGGAUACUCGUAUCCAUUUUCAGGAAUUCCAUGAUCUACACACAGAUGACACCAAAAUCGGAACAGCAAUGUCCACCCUUCUCCCGAGCCCUAGGUCGGUGCCUCUGUCCACCUGUGUCUCCUGAAACUUCAACACAGACUUCAAAUGGAGUGGCAGAAAACCAGAUUCCUUAGGGAAAGGAAGGUCUCCCAGACGGCAGGAGCGGCAGGCCUUAGGGGCAGCCGCAGGGGCUCGGGAGUCUGAACAUACCCGGUUUGAAUUCAGACUCUGGCACGCCCCAUGCGAUCAUAACAUAGUGCUGCACGUCUCAAGCCACCUAUAAAAACGGGGACAAUAACAAUAUCUGCCUCGGGGUUAAUGGAUUAGAUGUGUCGGUCCAUAGACGUUGCUGGCCACAUAGUUAAGUGGUGCGUUCACUCACUGGGCAUUGAUGGAGCGCCUACUACGUGCCAGGCCUGUUUUACGCGCCGGGGGCCCAGAGGCGCCCAGGUCAGACAAAGUGUAAACGAUUCCGACCAGAGCCCUUCAAUCUGCAUUCCGCUUCGCAGGAAACUCUCCUCCUUUUAUGAUUUUCAGCCGGACUGCCUUCCCUGUUGUUAGUUUGUAACUUUCGCUCCGGCCCCCGCAGCCUCGCGCCUGCCUUCCCUCCACUGUCCUCAGCCAAGGUGUAGUAAAGCGU